AGCGGGAUGGUGUAACGGUAGCACCUACGACUCUGACUCGUAUUGCCUAGGUUCGAAUCCUAGUCCCGCUGCCA
rnacentral:tRNA from 1 species